GGCUAUUUGCUAUCUGGACGUAAAGAGAGGAGGAGGGAAGGUCAUCGUGGAGAAGGCCCCUCAGGCUCGUAUCGACAAGAAGUAUUUGGUUCCUUUGCCAGUCGGUCAAUUCUACUUCCUCAUGCGCAAGAGAAUUCCCCAGAGACCCGAGGAUGCCCUCAUCUUCUUCGUCAACAUUGUGAUUCCUCCCACCAGCGCCACCAUGGGAUCGCUCUACCAGGGAAGGAACCGAGAUGAGACCAGACUCAGCCCUCCAGUGAGCCCAGGAGACCACCGAGGGACACCCACGCACCUCAUGGCAUGGGGGAGGACGGAUGGAGAUGGUGGGGAGGGAGACAGAGACGAGACCACUGAGCCGAAGGAACCAGUCAGGCCUUCAAGAUGCUGCCUGGAUGCUGGGGGAGACCAGACGAGACGAGUCCUGUUGGGGAGAAGAUGGAGGGAGAUUAAUUGAAGGGCAGAGAUGAGAGAGAGAUGGAACUAACUCUCUCUCCCUGUAUUUUUAUAAAGAGAAGACUAAUAAAGUUUGGAAAUAUA